GACGAACGCUGGCGGCGUGCUUAACACAUGCAAGUCGAGCGGAAAGGCCCUUCGGGGUCCUCGAGCGGCGAACGGGUGAGUAACACGUGAGUAACCUGCCCCAGACUUUGGGAUAACCCUCGGAAACGGGGGCUAAUACCGGAUACGACACAGCUUCGCAUGGGGUCUGUGUGGAAAGUUUUUCGGUUUGGGAUGGGCUCGCGGCCCAUCAGCUUGUUGGUGGGGUGAUGGCCUACCAAGGCGACGACGGGUAGCCGGCCUGAGAGGGGGACCGGCCACACUGGGACUGCGACAGGGACCAGACUCCUACGGGGGGCAGCAGUGGGAAAUAUUGCACAAUGGGCGGAAGCCUGAUGCAGCGACGCCGCGUGAGGGAUGACGGCCUUCGGGUUGUAAACCUCUUUCAGCAGGGACGAAGCGUAAGUGACGGUACCUGCAGAAGAAGCGCCGGCCAACUACGUG
rnacentral:rRNA from 1 species